UAAGUAAACUGGAUGAUUGCCCCCUCACCUUUUAUACAAUAAAUUAUCUAGUUGAUUAUACUAUAAAACCAUUAUUAUAAAAGGUGAGGGGGAGGAAAGUCCGAACACCCUUCAUUGAAAAAUGAAGAAGUGGAUAGUCGUUAACGACGACCGGGUAAAUAGUUUUUAAGAGCGCAAUUGCCUUUUAAAGGUUAUCUGGCCUAGGGAUAGUGUCACAGAGACAAAACUGCCGAUGGCCCCGCAAUGGCGGGGUACAGGCGAUGGUGAAAAGAGUGGUGUAAGAGACCACAGAUUGGUUGGGUGACUAACCAGUGUGAUAAACCCUAUCCGGUGCAAGAUCAAGUAGGUCCCGCUUUGCGGGAUGGGUUGAUCGCUCGAGCCUAGUAGCAAUGCUGGGCCUAGAUAGAUAAUCAUCGUCCCCACACCUUUUUAUUGAAUAAAAAAAUAAAAUAAUUUCAUCAAAAAGGUGUGGGGAUACAAAAUUCGGCUUAUAGGUUUACUUGGGUA
rnacentral:RNase_P_RNA from 1 species